CUACGUGCCAGCAGCCGCGGUAAUACGUAGGUGGCAAGCGUUGUCCGGAAUUAUUGGGCGUAAAGCGCGCGCAGGCGGAUCAGUUAGUCUGUCUUAAAAGUUCGGGGCUUAACCCCGUGAUGGGAUGGAAACUGCUGAUCUAGAGUAUCGGAGAGGAAAGUGGAAUUCCUAGUGUAGCGGUGAAAUGCGUAGAUAUUAGGAAGAACACCAGUGGCGAAGGCGACUUUCUGGACGAAAACUGACGCUGAGGCGCGAAGGCCAGGGGAGCGAACGGGAUUAGAUACCCUGGUAGUCCACGCCGUAAACGAUGAGUGCUAGGUGUUAGACCCUUUCCGGGGUUUAGUGCCGUAGCUAACGCAUUAAGCACUCCGCCUGGGGAGUACGACCGCAAGGUUGAAACUCAAAGGAAUUGACGGGGGCCCGCACAAGCGGUGGAGCAUGUGGUUUAAUUCGAAGCAACGCGAAGAACCUUACCAGGUCUUGACAUCCC
rnacentral:rRNA from 1 species